CUUCCAUCGCCGGCCCUUUUUCCGUGCACAAAGGCGUGUGUGUGCGUAUAUAUAUACACAUACACACACUGCUCCAUGCCACCGUUGUAGCAAGUUCUCCCAUCUAGCAACACCAUAAUCGCAGGAGAAUCGCUGCUCCACCAGACUCGGUUUCCUCUUGCUUCAGCGUCAAAAUCAUGGCCGCAGCUGGCAAGUCGUCGUCGGCCAUGGAGGAGACGGUUGCGGCGACGGCCGCCGCGCGGGGGCGGCGCGGGAUUGACCGGCAGGCCGUCGACAGGGGCAUCGCCUACCUGCUCAUGGUGGCCGCCCUCGUCGCCACCUACGCGCUUCACUAGAUUUUGAUCUGCUCCGGCGCGGGCAGACCUCACAGGAAGGAAGGCUUUUGUGCGCUUCUGCUUCCCGCCGGCCUCAGCCUCUUCAGAGUUCCCCUGCACCAAACUUCAUUCGUUCGUCUUCCAACCUUGUAUUGUAUGGAGAAUUGGAGAUGGAGAUGCAUGUGUCUGUGUGCUACAUCUCCAUACACUGCACAAGUUGUUUUCUUAUACUCUUUCCGUGUGAUUAAUCUGUACAGAAUAGUCAUUUGUUGCCAAAA